rnacentral:misc_RNA from 1 species
GAAAUGCGAUAAGUAAUGUGAAUUGCAGAAUUCAGUGAAUCAUCGAAUCUUUGAACGCACAUUGAGCCCGUCAGCAUUCUGGCGGGCAUGCCUGUUCGAGCGUCAUUUCAACCCUCAGGACCCCCCUUUCGCGGGGAGGGACCUGGCGUUGGGGAUCGGCCCGCCCCCCGUGGCGGCGCCGUCCCCGAAAUCUAGUGGCGGUCUCGCUGCAGCCUCCCCUGCGUAGUAGUUACAACCUCGCAUCGGAGCGCGGCGCGGCCACGCCGUAAAACCCCCGACUUUCUGAACGUUGACCUCGGAUCAGGUAGGAAUACCCGCUGAACUUAAGC